AAAAAGAUGAAACGGUUGCAUAAAAUUCUACCUUCAACACAAAUUUUCAUCUUCCUCGUAAGUACCAACGUCAACAAAUUUAUGAAUGGGGUGCACAGGGAAAAUAAUUGGCCAGUAGAGAAGAAUUCUUGAGGAACUGCCGAUUCCAUACGGUAAUGCGUGCGAAGCUUAAAAACGUGAUCGGCCGAACAGUGCUUGACUUUGACAGUUAUCGUUCGACCGUCGUAGACGAUGGACGUCGCAUAAUGCUGCGAAAUUCCCGAGCAACCUGUCCGAUGGUGGCCGUGAAAACGUCGUAUGACGUCAAUGUCACUACGCUCAGAAUGAAACUGAAUAACGUCUUGCGGUGAUAAAAUUACCAAUGGACGUAUCACGUAAUACUGUAACGUGACAUAACUCCUUCUACCAAACCGUGCGCUGAAACACGAAGUGAAAUGACCACGGAAGCAUCCGAAACCAGAAAUUGGAAUAAACAGGCGCUAACGCUUGACACGGACAGAUUUCACCCUCGCCAAUGUUAUACGCCAAGAUUUUCUCGUCUAGUGUGCCCGUUCCGAUGCCCAACAGAAGACUCGAACCAGAGAAAAUCCAAUGACGUCUUCGAACGUGUGGGCGUCACAGAAGGGGAUUUCGCCAGACCACCUGUAGCGAGCAGGAAGUAUCAACGAAAUGCCGGAUCGUUUUGCAUUGUCCGCAGGAACUCUAAGGCUGUGGGACGAGAUCGUUAUUUUUUUUAUCUUCGUUUCGAUGAUAAUCGGGACCCUGACCCGGAAUGUACGUGGACAGUUGUGUACGGCGGGGAUCCCGGAAAUUUUUGGAAUUCUUGGCAUUAGUUUCAAGUCUUCAUGUGAUGAGCACAAAAUGUAUACGUCAUUGGAAUGGUUAUUUGAGUGGUGAACAAUAAUUUCCGGAUUUGGGUUUAAGACGUCACUUCACGAGGAUAAAACGUUAUAAUAUUUGAAUAGUCAAUGGUGGAAAGUACAGCAAACAGUAAUGUACAGAAAGAUUGGAAUGACGAAAAUGAUCUGGAAUGUUUAUAGUCGUAAUAGAUAUUUAUCCUGUUCCUAGAUUAGAAUUGCAAUGUGGUGGAGUGGACAAUUAUGACUAGAUAAGUAUAAGGAUAAUUAUGCGAUAGCUACGUCGAUGUUUCUUUUUUUCAAUAAUUUUAACAAGUUGAAAAUAGUACUUUGAUGUUCUUGAAUUCCUUUAAUAUCUUUGCUGUUUUAUAUUGCAUAAACUCAUCCUUUGAGUCUAAUUAAUAAUACUGAUAAAUAAUGCAAUAGUAAAUAAUAAUAAUUUGGCUAUAUCUCAGAUGCCUUCCGGCAAGAACCGGUUGCAGAUAGUAUCACUUAAAAUUCGACUAUAAAAUAAUUAUUUUUGGCUACUUUUUUAUACCAAUACAGAUUUCUUCGCUAUAUUAAUAUUUAAUUUGCUCUAUUGGUGUUAAAUUGAGAAUUUUUCCAUAUGAAUGCUUCUUAUAAAACAUACGUCAGUAUAAUAGAAAUUGUUAAGAAAUGAAAUAAUGUUAUCUGAUCCUACUUCACGAAUGGUAUCGAGAAAUACCAAUUUGAAGCUUGAAGUAUGAUUCAGUUUUACAUUGCGUUAGAUUUUUAGUUGUUUCAUUGCAGACGAAACCGACAAAAAAAUGGCAACUAGCAAAGGAUUGGACAGGAGGGAGUAACAGUUUCAUAAUAGUGACUUUGCAGGAAUAUGCGUUUUUUUCUAAACGACAGUAACUUUCGAAUCGGAAGCUUUUAAGAUUUAAAAUUGGAUUUGUUGGACUCUACUCACACAUCGCAUCAGAGGGAAUAUAGGAAUCGGUGAUCAAGUUAAAGGACUUCAUCUGUGAGUUAAAUUUUAUAACGUGUAGUGAGAACCAUCGAUCAUUCGUACGUUGACAUCCUAAAUUGAUCUAAAUAAUGGAUGGUACAUUAACUCUUUGUUGACAAAUUAUUUUACAGCGUUUGUCUUUUAUUACUUAUAAUUAUAUCUCCCCCCCCCCUCACAAGGGACACGCGUUCAAUCAAUUAAUACCUAAAAAAUACGUGGAUGUUAUUAACAAUCAGACGGUGCUUCGUGGCUCGGAUCCAUUUGGACUGUGAUCGUGAGUAUAAAUCUUGUUAUUUGACUAUCUAGUUUCUGAACAUUCAUUUAAAAUUUGUGUGUGUUUCAUUAAGGUUUAUAGAAAAACGUGUCCACGAGGAGUACUUUAAAAAAAUAAAAUCAUCAAUCAUUCUAUGCAUUCUUAAGGUGCACCGUUUGAGUGUCAAACUAGAUAUAUUUUAGUUAAAUGAAGUAUCACUUUCUACACGUUUGUAAUUUUAUAUUGUUUUCAACAGUAAAUAUAGCAUUCUGAGCACAUUUUGAACUUUGACUGCAAA